AUGAUUAAAAAUAUUACGAAAAUAUAUUUUCUAAUAUAUAUGUUUAGAAUUUUUGGAAGUGUAAACACAAGUAAAAAAGAAAAGAAAACAAAGGGUCAAACAAACAAACAAAAGAGGCAGCGGCCUCGCGUGAGCUGGGCCGGCUCAUUUAGGCUGGCGCCUUCAACGAGAGCUUACUCUGUCUCGCUGGUAGUGAGACAUAGUCACGCCCCCAAAAUCAAUCUUACUCUGCAUCUAUAUUUCCCUUUGAGAUAUGGUAGUAUCAUUAGUGAGAUCAAGCUUCGUGCUACUAGUUUAAUUGUAAUUUCGUUUUUGAAGGUAGAGAGACAAAUAAAAGGGCUCACAAUCUCUUUUUUGCGGUUAGAAACUUGUAUUACUCAACAAUCAUUACCAUUACAAUCUGCAAGUGCUAGCUCUAAAGAAGCUGAAGGACCUGACCCGAACCAAGUCGUUGUCCUACCUUCAACUCCCGCCCAAAAAAAAAGACACAUCUCACAAAAAAAAAAACUCAGCUUCCAACGCUUCUCGACUAGCAUUUCAAAAUGA
rnacentral:rRNA from 1 species